rnacentral:misc_RNA from 10 species
GAGCCUCUGCCUUCUGGUUUACUUGGAACAAGACGGAAGAGAGUCACUCUUACCGUCGUGCAUACCUUAAGCGGGUCUGCCGCCUUCGUUUCUCUUUCUUCGCGAAUGACUUUGACUUGCGCUCGCGCGCCGCAUCGCACCCUUUGGGUGCUGGCGCUCCGCGAGGGCGCGGCACAAGCCGCGACGGCCGGUUGGCCUUGCGAGACUUGCGUCUCGUUGGCGAAAGCCGAUUUACGGCGCAGUCUUAGGGCUUGUAGCUCAGUUGGUUAGAGCGCGCGCUUGAUAAGCGUGAGGUCGGAGGUUCAAGUCCUCCCAGGCCCACCACUUCGCAAUCCGCAAGGAUUGUCGAUCUCCUCGACAAGUCGCCCUAAGACAGGGGUAACUUCGAAGAGGUGUUAUCAAGGGGCCGUAGCUCAGCUGGGAGAGCGCCUGCUUUGCAAGCAGGAUGUCGUCGGUUCGAUCCCGUCCGGCUCCACCAUCUCCGCGCAAUCCGCAGGAUUGUCGCUGCGCAAUCCGCGGGAUUGUCGCUGCCUCGUUCUAAAAAGAAAGAGGGGUGUCGAGUAGAGAUGGAAGCCGGUUGGCAAGUCAUUCGUUCAAAGAGUUUGCGGCGAGCUUCUUGGCUCUCCGCCUGUUCUGUAUGACAUCGUAAAGAGAAGAUUUGUUCGAACUUCAUAUCCUGAAAAGGGUGUGAUUUGUCGCGGGAGACGCUCAAUCUCCCGCAUAUGAUGGGUUUGCCUAACCGCACCCUCGAACCGAUCUCGAGAAGCUGGUCUUUUUGUGCCAAUGCCUCAAGCCGAAUUCUGCACAGGAUUUGGCUGAAGCGACGAUCCCUUCGGGAUCGCGCAGGCGACGAUCCCUUUGGGAUCGCGUGGUGGGUAUUGGCAAUGAGAACGAUCAAGUGUCUUAAGGGCAAUUGGUGGAUGCCUUGGCAUGCACAGGCGAUGAAGGACGUGAUACGCUGCGAUAAGCUACGGGGAGGUGCGAAUACCCUUUGAUCCGUAGAUUUCCGAAUGGGGAAACCCACCUAAGGUGCUUGGAAAAUCAGAGCAGCCAGUGGUCGAAAGGCCGACUUGCUGCUGUGGUUUCCAAGGAUCUGUUAUAGGUAACUUAUCCUGAAUCCAUAGGGAUAAAGUGGCGAACGCGGGGAACUGAAACAUCUAAGUACC